rnacentral:rRNA from 1 species
AUUGAACGCUGGCGGCAGGCCUAACACAUGCAAGUCGAACGGUAACAGGAAGAAUCUUGCUUCUUUGCUGACGAGUGGCGGACGGGUGAGUAAUGUCUGGGAAACUGCCUGAUGGAGGGGGAUAACUACUGGAAACGGUAGCUAAUACCGCAUAACGUCGCAAGACCAAAGAGGGGGACCUUCGGGCCUCUUGCCAUCGGAUGUGCCCAGAUGGGAUUAGCUAGUAGGUGGGGUAACGGCUCACCUAGGCGACGAUCCCUAGCUGGUCUGAGAGGAUGACCAGCCACACUGGAACUGAGACACGGUCCAGACUCCUACGGGAGGCAGCAGUGGGGAAUAUUGCACAAUGGGCGCAAGCCUGAUGCAGCCAUGCCGCGUGUAUGAAGAAGGCCUUCGGGUUGUAAAGUACUUUCAGCGGGGAGGAAGGGAGUAAAGUUAAUACCUGUGCUCAUUGACGUUACCCGCAGAAGAAGCACCGGCUACUCCGUG